rnacentral:rRNA from 1 species
UGGGGAAUAUUGGACAAUGGGCGCAAGCCUGAUCCAGCCAUGCCGCGUGAGUGAAGAAGGCCUUCGGGUUGUAAAGCUCUUUUUACCAGGGACGAUAAUGACGGUACCUGGAGAAUAAGCCCCGGCAAACUUCGUGCCAGCAGCCGCGGUAAUACGAAGGGGGCUAGCGUUGUUCGGAAUUACUGGGCGUAAAGCGCACGUAGGCGGAUUGUUAAGUCAGAGGUGAAAUCCCGGAGCUCAACUUCGGAACUGCCUUUGAUACUGGCAAUCUAGAGUCCGGAAGAGGUUAGUGGAAUUCCCAGUGUAGAGGUGAAAUUCGUAGAUAUUGGGAAGAACACCAGUGGCGAAGGCGGCUAACUGGUCCGGUACUGACGCUGAGGUGCGAAAGCGUGGGGAGCAAACAGGAUUAGAUACCCAAGUAGUCCCUGAGCGGGCUGGCAAGGCGCAU